CCUGCUGUUGCAUUAGUAAUGACAGGAAAGCGAAAUUACGUCCGAGACUCUUGAAGCUGGUUAGUCAUCUGGUAUCAAUUUCAAAAUGGCAACAGCUUUGUUAAAGAAAAAUAAAGCUGGCAGACUCAUCUUCCUUGUAUAAAAGUUACGGAUUAUUUGUUAGCAAUCCUGACACACAAGCUGCUGCAGCUAAAACAAACAGAGCUCCGUUCAACAGAUCAGAAUAGGAUAUCAUGAAGGGGGGGAUUUUGUUGAAAGUUUAGUUUGACUGGGAUCAGCAGGAGAGCGGUUGUCACCCUGCCGUCCCCGUUGUGCACUAAAUAUAAGACGCUCAGAGAUGUUGGGAGACAUGCGGAGGGAAGUGAGAGGACAAGCAAAACAAAUACAUCAGUCCUGCUGUCUCCCUGGCAGGUCCGUUAUGAAUAAUUUAUCCGGAAUGACGGAUGUUUUGGAUGUUUGGCUCUCUGGAAUCACAGCUGUAACUGAGGACUGCCAUGAUGGCGGAGCUGCUGAAGGUCAAUGGCGCACCCUGAAAGAUGAGGCUUUGUCUCGUCGCUGCGGCCUGUCUGAAGGUCUUGAUGCAGGCUUUACUCAGGCACAAUGGCACUUUGAGCUCAAUAGAAAGAUUUCUCUCCAGGCCCAGACAGAGUUCUUUCUGAACUCAGCUUGUCUGAAGACUUCAAUGAAGCCUCAUAUCAGGUCCCAUCCACCUCGACUACUGGGAGGCUGUGCAGCCAGAGCCUGGACAGAUGCUGCAAAAACAACGUUCAAUUUUGUGUGGAGUUCGGUGGUUAGCACCGUCGUCUUGCAGCUGGAAGAUCCUCAGUUCACGUCUCGGCCUGGGCCUGGGAUCUUUCUGCAUGGAGUCUGCAUGUUAUUCCUGUGCAUAUGUGGGCUUUCUCUGGGGUCCCCGGCUUCCGCCCACAGUCCAAAAACAUGCUGAGGUUAACUGGUGAUUCUAAAUUGUCAGUAGGUGUGAAUGUGAGUGUGCUUGUUUGUCUCUAUGUGUAGCCCUGCGAUAGACUGGUGAUCUUUCCAGGGUGUCUCCUGCCCUCACCCUAAAUCAGCUGGCAUAGAGCCCCCACCUCCAAUGAGGAUUAAGCAGUGUAUAGAUAAUGGAUAGAUGGAGAUUUCAUGUGCAGAAUCUUAACAACACAACAGUGUAAGGGUUUCCCACUAUUGUGCAUUGUCCAAGUUAGAUGAUUUUUUUGAUCAAAUCACAAAACUGUACCACAUUUGCAUUAAUUAGAUUAUGUAAUAAGUUGAAAUUGUUUAAAAAUUGGUUGUCAUAGUAACGUAACACACUCCCCAGCUGGUGAAAGGUUAAAAAAAUUAUGUUGUCUCAACAUACAACACAGCUCGUGAUGAAGUUGAGCCAAUUUGACUUUUUUUGUUGUUUUUGCAUUCAUUUUUUGUCAAUAGUUACCAUUUAGCAGUAUUAAUCUGCAAAUCUGCAGAGUAACAUCAUGAAAAUAACAUGAUUUUCCUUAACACCAAUGUAAAUUCACCAAUGAGCCACAACAUUAAAACCAACUGCUUAACAUUGUGUAGGUUUAAGAUCUUUUUAGUGGAUUAUACAGGUCAAAACAACAUCUGCAUGAACAGCAGUUUAUUGCAUUAUAACAAGAAAAUCAGUGUAAAUCACUUUGCCAGUCAGUAGUUUUGUUGCUGUGGCAUAUCAUUCUAUAACACAUAUUACCUCUACUUUACACGUUCUUUAUGGAGUUUUAAACAAUUCCUUGUUAUCAGUAUCGAAUUUAUGGUAAGAAAUGUGUACAUGGAGGGACACCAUGCUGAAAAUCAUUUUAAAGGGUUGCCUUGUUUUACAAACUGCUGUUGCACAUAUUAAUCAACACAAAAAGCCUCUUUAGGCCAAGAGAUGGCAGCAGCAACAUUGUAAGUGAUUAGACAUAGCUAUGGUGGCUGCUUCUUCCUCAAAUAUGAUGUUGUGUGGAUUUUUUUACUGCUGCAGGCAGUUUAGAGUGUUGUAAUUGACACUAAAUGAUCCAUGUCAGAACUUGUUCCCACUGACCUAUAAAGCUUGAGAUGCAUAUUCUUUUAUGUGUAAUUACUCAUAUUAAGAUCUUAUAUAAAACCCCAACACUAAUGAGGUGGUUUUGGUUGUUUUAGCUGAGAAUAUUUGCUACUUAUAACCUUGCAAAUGUGAUUACCUGUUUAUUUUGGCUUUGUUUUUGGAGGCUGGUCUCAUAAAACACUUUAAGGAGUGCUCAUGUGAGGCCUGAGUAACUCGUGAGUGGAUAUACGUCAUUAUUUUGUGCUAGUUUCAGCCAUAAACAAAAGAACCGAAGAUGCUUGAGAGGAAAACUUUAGAUGACAGUGCAACACAGAUCAAAUGUGACUGGAGUGUUGUCCUCAGUGGCACUCGAGCUCCACACAGGCUUCCUUCUUUCAGCCAGUAAAUCACUCAACAGUCAGCUUAUUGGUUUCUCUCUACCUCAGAGUAAACUCCAGAGGAGGACAAUUAAUCGCAAAAUCGUACUUCUCCAAUGAAGGAAGGGGAAAUUGCAUCAAAAUUGACGCUGAGAAUCGGCUUCUUGAGUAAUUGCAGGAUAACGUCUGUAUGCAUGCAAACGACUUUUCCAGCUUCUCAGUGUGAAAUAUUACACAAACUGCUCUAAACACAACAGAACUUGUUUGUUAGUUUGACAUCGUUGCCAUGAAGGUUGAACUAAUGACUUAGGUGUUUGUAAUGCUGUAUAAAUGUACUAAAAAGUUGGCUUUUUGGAAGCAUAUCCAAAGCAAACUUCACUCCUCUUCAUGUGUCUAUUGAAAUUGAUUGGGUUAUUGUAUUUAUAAAGUGGUUGUCAGGCUGGCUGCUGCCAGGCCUAGUUAGUGCUCUCCCCCUCCCCUCUCCAUUCUCUUUCCUUUUAGGGCAGCCCAGCAGCGCAGAAGAAGCAACAGGUGUUCCCUAUCUGCCACAAUUAGCCAGCUCAUGAACAGGUGCAACCAAUCAAGCUUCACCCAGUCUGCAAUAUAACCAGACGCCACCCAGCUCUCGGUGCCGGAUCGGGACACAGCUCUUCCGGACCCACCUGUUCCUGCCGUUCUGCCGUCAACACUGGACCCUGGUUAUCACCUCAGAGAAAAGGAAACACUCACCUGAGCUGACUGCCUCCUUCUGGCGUCCUUCUCCACUCACCUGUUGCUGCUUCGCGCCAUCCACCACCUGGCCCAAGGCACGCUGCUCCAAACCUUGGCUGCCACCGCUGUGAACCAGUUCUGAGCAUUCCUACUAUAAUUCGUUUCCCAGAGACUAUGGGUUGAGGAGGAAUUGGAAGUUUGUCGGCUUAGACCUGGUGUUAUUCCAUCAGUGUUAAACUUCCCGGCUCAUCUUGGAAGAGUAUGUGCCAGAAAGACCACGACCAAGCAGCCUUGAGAUCUUAGGCAGCGUCUCCCUGAGGUCCCUCUCUAUCUCCCCACACAUCCACCAACCACUGGAACACAUCUCCAAAGUUCUGCUGGACCAGCUCAGCUUCCCCUCAGAAGAAGUGCCGCCACCUGCCAGAUGAAAGAGCCUUUUGAGAGGCAGCUGACAUCGUGAUUGGACUGUACUUUGGUCUGUUCCAAUCCAGCUUCAGCUCCAGAGACGGCAGGCGGGACGAGUCAACGGAGGCCGGGUGGACGAAGGCAUGCAGCUGAGUACAAUCCAGAAAACAACAGAGGAGGAGUGCAGCUGCCCAGAGCCAGAACAACCAGAGUAGCAUUGUGUGUCUCUUAGAAAACAUCAUAGUAUAGCCUUUGGUAUGAAAAAACGCCAUCAUAUACAUCGUAUAUUGUACAAAUAACAAGUCAAAGGAAAGAGACUGACUGAUUUACUGAUUAUCAGUAUAUUAUUUUUUACUGAUUUACGGUAAUAAAUACAUUUAAAAAUGGUGCUA